rnacentral:rRNA from 1 species
UAAACGACUCUCAGUAACGGAUAUCUCGGCUCUCGUAUCGAUGAAAAACGUAGCAAAAUGCGAUACUUGGUGUGAAUUGCAGAAUCCCGUGAACCAUAGAGUCUUUGAACGCAAGUUCCACCCGAACCCAUCCGGCCGAGGGCACGUCCCCCUGGGCAUCACCCAUCGCGUAGC